rnacentral:rRNA from 1 species
GAUGAACGCUGGCGGCGUGCUUAAUACAUGCAAGUCGAACGGAGAUAGUAGCAAUAUUAUCUUAGUGGCGAACGGGUGAGUAACGCGUUGGUGACCUGCCCCGAAGAGAGGGAUAGCAGUUCGAAAGGACUGAUAAUACCUCAUGUGGUUGUCGGUUUUAGAAUCUGAUAACUAAACGGAUUUAUUCGCUUCGGGAGGGGCCUGCGUCCCAUCAGCUAGUUGGUAAGGUAAUGGCCUACCAAGGCGAUGACGGGUAGGGGACCUGAGAGGGUGGCCCCCCACAAUGGAACUGAAACACGGUCCAUACACCUACGGGUGGCAGCAGUAGGGAAUAUUGGGCAAUGGGCGCAAGCCUGACCCAGCCAUGCCGCGUGAAGGAUGAAUGCCCUAUGGGUUGUAAACUUCUUUUACACGAGACGAAACUUCCGGUCGUGACCGGGAUUGACUGUAUCGUAUGAAUAAGCAUCGGCUAACUCCGUG